rnacentral:rRNA from 1 species
GACGAACGCUGGCGGCGUGCUUAACACAUGCAAGUCGAACGGAAAGGCCCUGCUUUUGUGGGGUGCUCGAGUGGCGAACGGGUGAGUAACACGUGAGUAACCUGCCCUUGACUUUGGGAUAACUUCAGGAAACUGGGGCUACUACCGUAUAGGAGCUCCUGCUGCAUGGUGGGGGUUGGAAAGUUUCGGCGGUUGGGGAUGGACUCGCGGCUUAUCAGCUUGUUGGUGGGGUAGUGGCUUACCAAGGCUUUGACGGGUAGCCGGCCUGAGAGGGUGACCGGCCACAUUGGGACUGAGAGACGGCCCAGACUCCUACGGGAGGCAGCAGUGGGGAAUAUUGCACAAUGGGCGGAAGCCUGAUGCAGCAACGCCGCGUGCGGGAUGACGGCCUUCGGGUUGUAAACCGCUUUAGCCUGUGACGAAGCGUGAGUGACGGUAAUGGGUAAAGAAGCACCGGCUAACUACGUG